GAUGAACGCUGGCGGCGUGCCUAAUACAUGCAAGUCGAGCGAACAGACGAGGAGCUUGCUCCUCUGACGUUAGCGGCGGACGGGUGAGUAACACGUGGAUAACCUACCUAUAAGACUGGGAUAACUUCGGGAAACCGGAGCUAAUACCGGAUAAUAUAUUGAACCGCAUGGUUCAAUAGUGAAAGACGGUUUUGCUGUCACUUAUCGAUGGAUCCGCGCCGCAUUAGCUAGUUGUUAAGGUAACGGCUUACCAAGGCAACGAUGCGUAGCCGACCUGAGAGGGGGAUAGGCCACAAGGGAACGGAGACAGGGUCAAGACGACUGAGGGAGGCAGCAGUAGGGAAUCUUACGCAAUGGGCGAGAGCAUGACGGAGCAACGCCGAGUGAGUGAUGAAGGUCUUCGGAUCGUAAAACUCUGUUAUGAGGGAAGAACAAAUGUGGAAGUAAAUAUGCACGUCUUGACGGUACCUAAUCAGAAAGCCACGGCUAACUACGUG
rnacentral:rRNA from 1 species